rnacentral:rRNA from 1 species
GAUGAACGCUGGCGGCGUGCCUAAUACAUGCAAGUCGAGCGAAUGGAUUAAGAGCUUGCUCUUAUGAAGUUAGCGGCGGACGGGUGAGUAACACGUGGGUAACCUGCCCAUAAGACUGGGAUAACUCCGGGAAACCGGGGCUAAUACCGGAUAACAUUUUGAACCGCAUGGUUCGAAAUUGAAAGGCGUCUUCGGCUGUCACUUAUGGAUGGACCCGCGUCGCAUUAGCUAGUUGGUGAGGUAACGGCCCACCAACGCAACGAUGCGUAGCCGACCGGAGAGGGUGAUCGGCCACACUGGGACUGAGACACGGCCCAGACUCCUACGGGAGGCAGCAGUAGGGAAUCUUCCGCAAUGGACGAAAGUCUGACGGAGCAACGCCGCGUGAGUGAUGAAGGCUUUCGGGUCGUAAAACUCUGUUGUUAGGGAAGAACAAGUGCUAGUUGAAUAAGCUGGCACCUUGACGGUACCUAACCAGAAAGCCACGGCUAACUACGUGCCAGCCGCCGCGGUAA